rnacentral:lncRNA from 1 species
CAUGAAAAUACCAUUGGAUUUUCAAACUUUACUAUAAGAAGAAAAAGUGCGUAAGUAUAUUUGAGCUCUAUAUAGACUUAAACAAGUACCAUGGAUAUGGUAUUAAUAAAUAGAUACCUAGUUCAUAAAAAAAAGACAUACCAAGAGUUCAGCCAACUACAACUUGUAUUAUUCAAUCAAUAGCAAUCAAUAUAUAAUUGUACUUCUUUAUAU